CCAGACUCCUACGGGAGGCAGCAGUGGGGGAUAUUGCACAAUGGGGGAAACCCUGAUGCAGCGACGCCGCGUGAGUGAAGAAGUAAUUCGUUACGUAAAGCUCUAUCAGCAGGGAAGAAAAUGACGGUACCUGACUAAGAAGCCCCGGCUAACUACGUGCCAGCAGCCGCGGUAAUACGUAGGGGGCAAGCGUUAUCCGGAAUUACUGGGUGUAAAGGGAGCGCAGACGGCAGUGCAAGUCUGGAGUGAAAGCCCGCGGCUUAACUACGGGACUGCUCUGGAAACUGUGCAGCUAGAGUGCAGGAGAGGCAGGCGGAAUUCCUAGUGUAGCGGUGAAAUGCGUAGAUAUUAGGAGGAACACCAGUGGCGAAGGCGGCUUACUGGACUGUAACUGACGUUGAGGCUCGAAAGCGUGGGGAGCAAACAGGAUUAGAUACCCCCGUAC
rnacentral:rRNA from 1 species